rnacentral:rRNA from 1 species
GUAAAUUUAAUUAAAUAGUUAGUUUAGAUUAUUUAUUUAUUUUAUUUAAAAAAUUAUUUUAAUUUAUUUUUAAAAAGUAUUUAUAUAAAAAAUUUGUUAAAAAUUUAUAUUAUUAGUAUUGUAAAAGAAAAAUUUUAUUAAUUUAAAUUAAUUAUUAUUUAAAUUUACCUUUUGUAUCAGGGUUUAUUAAAAUUUUUAAAAAAAUUUUUUUUUCUCGAAAUAAAUUGAUUUAAGUAAAUAUAUUAUUUAAUGUUUAAUUAUUAUUAAAAAUAUUUAUUUAGUAAAUAUAUUUUUGUCAAAAUUUAAUAUCUAGUUAUUUUAUAAAUAAAUUUAAUUUAGAUAUUUAUACUAUAAUUUAAAUAAAUUUUUAUUAAAUUAUUUAUAAAUAUUAAUAUUUUAAGGGAUAAACUUUAAAUUAAUUUUAAAAAUUGAAUUAAUUAAUUUAUUUAAAUAAAAUUUAAAAUUUUUAUUUUUAAAUAAUUUUUAAUAAUUAAUAAAUAUAAAAUAAAAUUUAUUUAUAUUUUAUUAUUUAUAAAAUUAAAUUUUUAAAUUUUUUAGAAUUUAAAAUAAUGAUAAAAUUAGUAAAAAUAAAUUAUAUUUAAUUAAGUAUUUUUAAUUUAAAUAAAGUUAAGGAAUUCGGCAAAAAUUUUAUUCACCUGUUUAAUAAAAACAUGGUUUUUUGUUUAAAAUUUAAAAUCUAAUCUGCUCAAUGAAUAAGUUUAAAUUAGCUGCAGUAUUUUGACUGUACAAAGGUAGCAUAAUCAUUUGUCUUAUUAUUUAAGUCUGGAAUGAAUGAUUGAAUGAAAUAAUUUCUGUCUCAAUUUUAAUAUAUUAAAUUUAAUUAUAAGUAAAAAUUCUUAUAUUUAAUUUAAAGACGAGAAGACCCUAUAGAAUUUUAUAAUUUAAAAAAAUUUAAAUUUAAUAAAUUUAAUUUUAUUAAGUUAUUUAAUUGGGGAUAUAUAAAAAUUUAAAAAAAUUUUUAAUUUAUUAAACAAAAAUUUUUGAAUAAUUUAAAUUUUAUUAAAAUAAUUAAAUAAAUUACCUUAGGGAUAACAGCGUUAUUAUUUUUGAGAGUUCAUAUUGAUAAAAUAGAUUGCGACCUCGAUGUUGAAUUAAGAAUAAAUUUUAUUGAAGGUAAUAAAAAUUUAAGUCUGUUCGACUUUUAAAUUCUUACAUGAUUUGAGUUUAGAUCGGUGUAAGCCAGAUCGGAUUCUAUCUUAAAUUUUUAUAUAAUUUUUUUGUACGAAAGGACUAAAAAUUAUUAAUAAUUAAUUAGUUUUGAAUUAAAUU